AUUGAACGCUGGCGGCAUGCCUUACACAUGCGAGUCGAACGGUAACGCGGGGGCAACCCUGGCGACGAGUGGCGAACGGGUGAGUAAUACAUCGGAACAUAUCCAGUAGCGGGGGAUAACCUAUCGAAAGAUUGGCUAAUACCGCAUACGAUCUACGGAUGAAAGCGGGGGACCGCAAGGCCUCGCACUAUUGGAGUGGCCGAUGUCAGAUUAGCUAGUUGGUGGGGUAAAAGCCUACCAAGGCGACGAUCUGUAGCUGGUCUGAGAGGACGAUCAGCCACACUGGAACUGAGACACGGUCCAGACUCCUACGGGAGGCAGCAGUGGGGAAUUUUGGACAAUGGGCGCAAGCCUGAUCCAGCCAUGCCGCGUGAGUGAGGAAGGCCUCGG
rnacentral:rRNA from 1 species